AUACGGGGGGUGCAAGCGUUAUUCGGAUUUAUUGGGCGUAAAGGGCGCGUAGGCGGCUUGGUAAGUCAGAUGUGAAAGCCCGGGGCUUAACCCCGGAAGUGCAUUUGAAACUAUCAGGCUCGAGUAUGAGAGAGGGAAGUGGAAUUCCUGGUGUAGAGGUGAAAUUCGUAGAUAUCAGGAGGAACACCGGUGGCGAAGGCGAUUUCCUGGACCAAUACUGACGCUGAGGCGCGAAGGCGUGGGGAGCAAACAGGAUUAGAAACCCCAGUAGUCC
rnacentral:rRNA from 1 species